rnacentral:rRNA from 1 species
AGAACGAACGCUGGCGGCAUGCCUAACACAUGCAAGUCGAACGUGAUCCAGGCUUCGGCCUGGUGAAAGUGGCAGACGGGUGAGUAACGCGUGGGAACCUGCCCUGUGGUAGGGAAUAACCGUGGGAAACUGCGGCUAAUACCCUAUGAGUCCUUCGGGAGAAAGAUUUAUCGCCAUAGGAGGGGCCCGCGUCGGAUUAGGUAGUUGGUGGGGUAACGGCCUACCAAGCCUUCGAUCCGUAGCUGGUCUGAGAGGAUGAUCAGCCACACUGGGACUGAGAUACGGCCCAGACUCCUACGGGAGGCAGCAGUGGGGAAUAUUGGACAAUGGGGGCAACCCUGAUCCAGCAAUGCCGCGUGGAUGAUGAAGGCCUUGGGUUGUAAAGUCCUUUCGGCGGGGAAGAUGAUGACGGUACCCGCAGAAGAACGCCCGGCUAACUUCGUGCCAGCAGCCGC